GAUGAACGCUGGCGGCGUGCCUAAUACAUGCAAGUCGAGCGAACGGACGCUAAUCUUGCUUCUCUGAUGUUAGCGGCGGACGUGUGAGUAACACGUGUAUAACCUACCUAUAAUUCUGGUAUCACUUCGGGAAACCGGCUCUAAUACCGUAUAAUCUUUUGCUCCGCAUGGUUCAAAAGUGAAAUACGGUCUUUCUGUCACUUCUAGAUGGUUCAGCGCUGCAUUAGCUAGUUGUUAAGGUAACGGCUUACCAAGGCGACGAUGCGUAGCCGACAUGAGAGGGGGAUAGGCGACACUGGAAGGGAGACACGGUCAAGGCUACUACGGGAGGCAGCAGUAGGGAAUCUGAGGCAAUGGGCGAAAGCAUGACGGAGCAAGGCCGCGUGAGUGAUGAAGGUGUUCGGAGCGGAAAAAUCUGUUAUGAGGGAAGAACAGAUGUGGAAGGAAAUGUGGACAGAUUGACGGUACCUAAUAAGAAAGCAACGGCUAACUACGUG
rnacentral:rRNA from 1 species